GUGUAAUUGGUCAUGAGAAAACACUCCACAAGAGACACAAGAAUUUGACAACGAUAGGUUAACAUACGGUCUUCAACAAUGAGCAAAGCCCAUACACUGUACUUUAACAAUAAAUAUUACAAAAUUUGUGAACGUUUGGUAUUUUGUGAUGUCCAUAUGCAUAACUGUUAAAUGAGUUUUUCCAAAAACGUUUGUCAUCAAAGUUAC
rnacentral:lncRNA from 1 species